CCCUUAGAUGUUCUGGGCGGCCCGCGCACUACAUUGGCACUCUCAAUAAGUUCCUAGAUCUAAAACUUUGGGGUAUUCUAUUAAGUGGUGUCGUGACUGGGAUUAACCCUUGCAAUUAUUGGUUACGAACGAGGAAUUCCUUGUAAUCGCGGUUUAUCAGCCCGCGUUGAAUGCGUCCCUGCCCUUUGUACGCACCGCCCGUCGCUCCUACCGAUGAAUCGUCCGGUGAAGUUCAUGGAGUGGUGGUUGUUCCAGCUGCUGUCGAAGUGAAAUGGACCUCACGAUUUAGAGGAAGGAGAAGUCGUAACA
rnacentral:rRNA from 1 species